rnacentral:lncRNA from 10 species
UCCGACUUCGUCGGCCCCGGGGACCGCAGAGACAGGCGCCAGGGGAUGACACCGCCAUCUGGCCAUAGCCUGUAUAUCAUCCUGAUCUCUCCCCCGCCUUCCGCAUGUCUCACAUCCAGCUGCUACUAAAUCAUGUCAGCUCUGCCCCAUGCAUACUGCCUGUCCUCCUCCUUCCCCAAGGCCACCAUACCGGCACUUGUGCCUUCUGAGACCUGCCUUCCAGAGGAGUGCACAUGCCAGGAGUGUUCAGUGGGCACAAGUGGUUUUAUUGUUUCUGCCCGGAAGAGGAAGCCCUGGCAGCAGCAGGGACACAGAGAGGACACGG